AGUGGCAUUGCUGGGUCCAAUGGUAACUGUCAUAGUUUUUGAGGAAUUGCAAAACUGCUUUCCAGAAUGGCUGUACCAUUUUACAUUUCCACCAGCAAU
rnacentral:pre_miRNA from 1 species